UACGAGGGGGCAAAUGUUGUUCGGAAUCACUGGGCGUAAAGGGAGCGUAGGCGGGUUCUUAAGUAAGGUGUUUAAUCCCGGGGCCCAACCCCGGACCGGCACUUUAAACUGGGAAUCUUGAAUAGUGGAGAGGUCGGUGGAAUUGGGGUGUAGCGGUGGAAUGCGUAGAGAUCCCCAAGAACACCAGUUGCGAAGGCGGCCGACUGGACACAUAUUGACGCUGAGGCUCGAAAGCAUGGGGAGCAAACAGG
rnacentral:rRNA from 1 species